rnacentral:rRNA from 1 species
AGUGAACGCUGGCGGUAGGCCUAACACAUGCAAGUCGAACGGCAGCACAGGAGAGCUUGCUCUCUGGGUGGCGAGUGGCGGACGGGUGAGGAAUACAUCGGAAUCUACUCUGUCGUGGGGGAUAACGUAGGGAAACUUACGCUAAUACCGCAUACGACCUACGGGUGAAAGCAGGGGAUCUUCGGACCUUGCGCGAUUGAAUGAGCCGAUGUCGGAUUAGCUAGUUGGCGGGGUAAGGGCCCACCAAGGCGACGAUCCGUAGCUGGUCUGAGAGGAUGAUCAGCCACACUGGAACUGAGACACGGUCCAGACUCCUACGGGAGGCAGCAGUGGGGAAUAUUGGACAAUGGGCGCAAGCCUGAUCCAGCCAUACCGCGUGGGUGAAGAAGGCCUUCGGGUUGUAAAGCCCUUUUGUUGGGGAAGAAAUCCAGCUGGCUAAUACCCGGUUGGGAUGACGGUACCCAAAGAAUAAGCACCGGCUAACUUCGUGCCAGCCGCCGCGGUAA